UCCUUCGCGGUGUAGUGAUCAGCACGUUGGGCUCGUAUUCCAGAGGUCCGUGGUUCGAGUCCCGGCGAAGGUG
rfam:Stegodyphus mimosarum contig126646, whole genome shotgun sequence.